GCGGCACGGUGAUCGCCUUCGGGUUUCGGUCCACAGCGUUUUCGGGCCGGGCGGCGACCCGUAGAGCUUUCCACGGGAAGCGGCUGCGGCCGCCUGGUCACCGAGAGACGAAUCCCGUAGGUGGGGGGUUCGCCCAGGCCCUGGGACCCCGCCUGGUCAGGCUUCCUGCGGGGAAGGAGACCUUCCUAUGUUACCGGGAAGGCACCGCCCGCCCGCGGGCUCGAGAGUCGUCCCGGGGACCCUGUUGAGCUAAAAUCCCUGUUGGCCUGAACUCGGGAAGGGAAGUCAGCUGCACGCGGAGCCUCUGAACCGGGCGACAGAUGAAGCCAGGUCGGGUAGUCGGCGCGACGCUGUCCGCCGGGACGGACGUGUGCCGGUUCCCAGCUCUGUAGUAACGUCAUCGAGAGGGUCCCUGCGCUCGGCCGCACCGGCGCCUCCGGGGGCCGGGACCGUGCGAAUUGCGUGGCUCGACGGAGCUCAGCGCUCCUCACCCGCCCCCCGCCCCGCUCAGGGGCUCCUCUAAAAUGAGUGACCACCACCCUCCCAGUGAUAUCUUCGUCUAACAGUCCAUGGAAAAGUAGGAUUGAUGGUGGACUCCGACCGGGUUGGAUGCACUCAAUGCAUACAGCCUGCUGAUGAGUGAGUGAAGGACGGCACAAGCCUGGAAGGUUGAAGAGCAGAGAGAACAAAGCACAGCAGUACACACAGCGCCUAUGUAGCCCAAAGCUUGCAGAGUGGGAAACCUUUUAUGUUUUCCUUUUUGUGAUUUCUCUCUUGGUUUUUUGGUUGGUUUGGUUUGUUUCCUUGGAGACAAUACCAUGUUUUAAAAGGCCUAGCCGGGCGUGGUAGUGCACGCCUGUAAUCCCAGCACUCGGGAGGCUGAGGCAGGAGGAUCACUGUGAGUUCCAGGCCAGCCUGGGCUGCAUAGUGAGUUCCAGUUCAGCCUGGACUACAUAGGGAGACCCUGUCUCAAAAAACCAAAAGCUAAAUAAAUAGCAAACUAAAAAUCCUAGUAGUCUUAAAACCCUGUUCAUCCUGUAGGGUUAAUGUGGUCUCUCAACUUUGUUUCCUGUGUAACUACAGAUAACUUCUGUUGUAGCCUCACAGGUCUACCUGUUGUACUAUAACAGUACUAUACAUCAAUAGUGUUAUUAUGACUUUAAUUAUAUAAAAGCCAAGUGUUUAGUCA